UACGAAGGGGGCUAGCGUUGCUCGGAAUCACUGGGCGUAAAGGGUGCGUAGGCGGGUCUUUAAGUCAGGGGUGAAAUCCUGGAGCUCAACUCCAGAACUGCCUUUGAUACUGAGGAUCUUGAGUUCGGGAGAGGUGAGUGGAACUGCGAAGUGUAGAGGUGAAAUUCGUAGAUAUUCGGAAGAACACCGGUGGCGAAGGCGGGGUCACUGGGCCGAUACUGACGCUGAGGAGCGAAAGCGUGGGGGAGCGAAACAGG
rnacentral:rRNA from 1 species